UAGGGAAUCUUCCACAAUGGGCGCAAGCCUGAUGGAGCAACACCGCGUGAGUGAAGAAGGGUUUCGGCUCGUAAAGCUCUGUUGUUAAAGAAGAACACGUAUGAGAGUAACUGUUCAUACGUUGACGGUAUUUAACCAGAAAGUCACGGCUAACUACAUGCCAG
rnacentral:rRNA from 1 species